GCCCUCCAGCCCUAGCCGCAACCCCAACCCCAUGGAGGUCGAGAUCAAGCUCCGGCUCCCGACGCGGCCGCACACCGGCGCCUCUCCUCCUUCCUCGCGCCCCGCCUGCUCCGCACCGAUGCCCCCGCGUGGCCCACGCUGCCGCCGUCCUGCGAUCCAAGUUCCAACUGACGCAGCCGGAUCUCGUGCGAUCUCACAGCUGCCACCGCCGCCGCCGAACUCACAGUCGGAUUUCGUGCAAUCUCACAGCCGCCGCCGCCGAACUCACAGCUGGAUCUCGUGCGAUCUCGCUGCCUCCGACGUACGGAAGUCUCCACUGUAUGGGAUCGCCGCCACGGUACUGGAUCGCCGCCACGGACGUAAGAGGCUGAAGCGCGGCGGGUGGGACAGGGUGUGCGUCGCGUUGCUGGAGAACUUCCUCGAACGAACGCUGUGGUGGUGCCAUUGUCCAUUGAUCUGGAUGUCGGUAAAAAAAAAGAGGGAAAUCAAAGUCAGAAGAAUUGAAAAUACUAUGCAAUGUGUCUACAAAAAGUCCAUGCUGCCUAUUCCUACAUAAGGAUAAGGAUCCACGAAAUCUAGAGGACCUUCAGACUUGGCUCUUUGCUGGGGCGAAGGGUGUGAAGUGGUUUGCCGCAGAUUCAGAGGCCAUUUGGUUCAUCCAUAAUCUUCAAUGCAUCCCUAUCCUGAUGCUUCUAAUUUUCACUGCCCUCGGGUUUUGGAGCAUUGUGUAACUUUAUUUGGUUCAUUGCAGGUGCAGGGAACCUAUUGGAUUUACAUCUUCUACUCUCUUGACAAGGCAGUGUUCGAGGGUGUGCCUAGGUGAAACACAUGGUCUCCAUCACCCUUUCCUUCUAGAGCCGGUACCAGGGAGGCAAGACCAGGAUCACAUUCUUGGCCCCGUUUGAAGGAACGACGAUUUUCAGGAUUGACGUGGAUUGAUUUUCUUGAACAUGAAGUUAACUACAUGUGAAGCUGAAGCUAAGCCAAUGUGCUUUUCCAGAAGAAGGCCAAGGUACAUCAAUCCAACACCAACCCACCUGCUAUGGAACUAAGGGAGGAAGGAAAAAGAACAUUGCCCCUGAAGGCUCGAGACGCACAAACAGGAAGCUGAGUUCGGGAAAGGUGGUUGUCUCCUUGACGCACACCAUAGUGCCCAUCUUUUCUAUUCUAAUGUCUUGUUCCUUGGACAUGUAUUUGAUCUCAGGCUUUCUUAAGUGGUCCGUACUAACAAAUGAAAUGCGCAGAAGGAGAUACUUAUGUUAUUCUGUUGUUGCAGACACCUUGUGCUUUGUGCAGACCAUCAAUGCCUUUUCCUCCUGUUCGGCCAGGAGAUGAAUGCUUUCUAAACAUUGGUAAUAACAAUGAGAUCAGAGAGUACUGCUCUAUUGAUUGCUCUUCUAAAUCUUGUGAGUGCAAGGUAUGUAGGGAUCCAAGGAUAUUUAUUGAGACCACUUCUCCCUUUUGACGAGCAAGCACUGUUUUAUAGGUUAUUGGCCACAAUAAUCUCAUAAUGGUGUCCUGCUAUGUAGAACAUGAUUGCAAGAUAAUAUAUUUCCAAAUGAUACUUUA